UGUCCAGACUCCUACGGGAGGCAGCAGUGAGGGAUAUUGGACAAUGGGGGAAACCCUGAUCCAGCGACGCCGCGUGAGUGAAGAAGUAUUUCGGUAUGUAAAGCUCUGUCAGCAGGGAAGAAAGAAAUGACGGUACCUGACUAAGAAGCACCGGCUAAAUACGUGCCAGCAGCCGCGGUAAUACGUAUGGUGCAAGCGUUAUCCGGAUUUACUGGGUGUAAAGGGAGCGUAGACGGCCAUGCAAGCCUGGAGUGAAAGCCCGGGGCCCAACCCCGGGACUGCUCUGGGAACUGUGCGGCUGGAGUGCGGGAGGGGCAGGCGGAAUUCCUGGUGUAGCGGUGAAAUGCGUAGAUAUCAGGAGGAACACCGGCGGCGAAGGCGGCCUGCUGGACCGCGACUGACGUUGAGGCUCGAAAGCGUGGGGAGCAAACAGGAUUAGAUACCCCUGUA
rnacentral:rRNA from 1 species